AAGGGUGUAGCUCAGUGGUAGAGCACAUGCUUAGCAUGCACGAGGUCCCAGGUUCAAUCCCCAGUACCUUUG
rnacentral:tRNA from 1 species